UACGAAGGGGGCUAGCGUUGCUCGGAAUCACUGGGCGUAAAGGGUGCGUAGGCGGGUCUUUAAGUCAGGGGUGAAAUCCUGGAGCUCAACUCCAGAACUGCCUUUGAUACUGAAGAUCUUGAGUUCGGGAGAGGUGAGUGGAACUGCGAGUGUAGAGGUGAAAUUCGUAGAUAUUCGCAAGAACACCAGUGGCGAAAGCGGCUCACUGGACCAUAACUGACGCUGAUGCACGAAAGCUAGGGGAGCAAACAGG
rnacentral:rRNA from 1 species